rnacentral:rRNA from 1 species
GACGAACGCUGGCGGCGUGCUUAACACAUGCAAGUCGAACGGAAAGGCCCUGCUUUUGUGGGGUGCUCGAGUGGCGAACGGGUGAGUAACACGUGAGUAACCUGCCCUUGACUUUGGGAUAACUUCAGGAAACUGGGGCUAAUACCGGAUAGGAGCUCCUGCUGCAUGGUGGGGGUUGGAAAUUUUCGGCGGUUGGGGAUGGACUGGCGGCUUAUCAGCUUGUUGGUGGGGUAGUGGCUUACCAAGGCUUUGACGGGUAGCCGGCCUGAGAGGGUGACCGGCCACAUUGGGACUGAGAUACGGCCCAGACUCCUACGGGAGGCAGCAGUGGGGAAUAUUGCACAAUGGGCGGAAGCCUGAUGCAGCAACGCCGCGUGCGGGAUGACGGCCUUCGGGUUGUAAACCGCUUUCGCCUGUGACGAAGCGUGAGUGUCGGUAAUGGGUAAAGAAGCACCGGCUAACUACGUG